CUUUUUUCGGUUGAGUGAUUUGCUACAUCACCUACCAGAAUGAUGCCUAUGCAUUGGUCAUGGAGUAUGGCUUGACUUGAUUGAAUUUUUGCCAAGACUUUCUUACACCACAGGAUGUAGUCCUGAAGGAAAUUGUUUAUCCCAACUUAAUUGGACAAAAUUUUCUCCAGGAUCAUGAAAGCAAAAGUCUCUUGCUUGUAAAAUGUGGUAACAUUAUCAGUAGGUAUCUUUAUGUUCAAGGCAAGGAUGGGAAAGGUUUCAUCACCUUUCAAGACACUCCUUAUGAUUACGAUUAGUAAUUAUUUUAAACUAGCUGUUCAGUGUAUUUCAUACUCAAUCAUCAAAUGUAAUGUGAAAUGUCUGUCCAAAUUUAAUCUGUUAAUACCAUUAUUCCAGUGGAAAAAUUACCUUUAGCAAGCAACUGUGUUAGUAUUGUGUUAUCAGGUCUUAAAUUUGUGCACUAUAGAAGCUUACUUGACCUUAUGACCCCCUUUUGGAGGUAGGAUUUUUGAUAUUACAUGUGCCAGGUUUUAAGCCAUAUGCAUCAUGCUCUGUUGUGUAAAGAACAGAAUAUGCAUUCCAAGUUACUCAGGAAUGUACUGGGGAUAAACUUGAUGAAAUCUUGUCAAGAACAUUUUAAAUUUUUACUGAUCUUAAAAUUAUGAUUCUUACCAAACUCUUAGACAAACUUAAAACUUUUGUAAAGAUUCUUACAAGAUUCUUCAAAACACUAGUCUAGAGUCAAAGUGUUACUUGUCCUUGAGGAUUUCCAUAUCCAUUUGAUCUUUCCAAACCAAAGCAAAAAGUUUGCUAUCUUUAGAAAGAGACCAAGCAUGUAGCAGCCAAUUGUUAUGAAUAUGACAGGAGCAACAAAAAAUAAACUGGAGAUAUGAAUACUUGACAAAUGCAAAAUUUGUGGUUCACCCGUCCAUCAGCAUGACGUUUUUUACUUAUAUUCUAAGAACAAAGUCGUAUAUCGAAAGGCAAUCUAUUGUUAUUCCCAUUCUCUUUUCUCUUUUCAGAGAACAGAGAGCAUAAGCAAGUAUGUGGUUUUACGGAGAUCUUACCAAAAGUCACGGUUGAGCAGUCAUCACUGGACCUCCUCUUCAUGCAGAGACCGGAUUGUGGCGAGCCCCUCGUGGAGGACAUCCCUCAAAAAAUGAAAAAGUUUGAUCGAAGUCAGUAGACGGUUUGAGAUGUGUAACCGAGAGUUAUUGAAAGACGAAAAGAGUUUACAAAAUAGAAAAAAUGGAAGAAACAUUACGAUUCUCUUCCACGAGACUUGGCAAAUAUUGAUGCUGUUGUAAGGAACUGCGUCCGUCGUCUUGGAGAUCGUUUGAUCAAGAAUGGAAGAAAAAGACUGGAACAUUUUCGCGGCGUUUUAUGGCCACAAUAGUGUCUCUUUUAGCUUCUCUGUGGCCGGGAAAUGCGUCAUUUCAACCCAAAUACCUUGCAUAUCGUCCAUUCUGCCAAGGCGUCGAUGAGAGUGUUUCUUCGAGUCUGCUGAAGCGAGUGGUUUGAAUUCGACGACGAAGAAGGAUGGAUGAAUGUCCUUUUGUCACAACUUUUCUCAAGGACAGCGUUAGGCACGGAAUGAGGCUGUCACCAAAUCAAGGCUAAAUCGAAUUGAAUUCAAGGGAGGAAAGGAAGACAAGGCAACUUACUAAAACGUCGACAGAUGCACGAAUAAAAAACAAGAAAAGGCUGUAAGACAAUAUUUAUCCAGAGGUAGAAAACAAAUGUAGCCCAUUUCUUCCAAGAUGCAGCGAGUCAACUAAGAGACAUUCACCAAAGUCGACGACUUGAAGCCAAACGUGAGCAAAUGGUGUGACGCGAUUUUGUUGGACUUUGAAAUUUUAUUUGUCGGCCUAAUAUCCAUGGCAUGGACUGCUUAAAAAUUUUUAAUUUUCCCGCCAAAAAACUUAGAAAAAAUACGGGUACCUUUAACUACGCAUGCGCCAAUUUUUUAUUUAGUCUGUAACUAACAUCUGUUCAGAUAUGGCUUAUUUUCCCGCCAAAAGACUUAGAAAAAUCGGCGCCUAAAAAUACGCAUGCGCCAUAUUUUUUUUUUUUUGUUGAUCGAAGUUGUACACAAGCGAAUAUAGUUAAGUUAAUAAACUUCAUCUUUAUUUCCA